AGUAAAUAGAUACCCUGGUAGUCCACGCCGUAAACGAUGAGUACUAGGUGUAGGAGGUAUCGACUCCUUCUGUGCCGCAGUUAAACACAAUAAGUACUCCGCCUGGGAAGUACGGUCGCAAGAUUAAAACUCAAAGGAAUUGACGGGGGCCCGCACAAGCAGCGGAGCAUGUGGUUUAAUUCGAAGCAACGCGAAGAACCUUACCUAGACUUGACAUCCCCUGAAUAACGUAGAGAUACGCGAAGCCCUUCGGGGCAGGGAGACAGGUGGUGCAUGGUUGUCGUCAGCUCGUGUCGUGAGAUGUUGGGUUAAGUCCCGCAACGAGCGCAACCCUUAUCAUUAGUUGCUACCAUUCAGUUGGGCACUCUAGUGAGACUGCCCGGGUUAACCGGAGGAAGGCGGGGAUGACGUCAAAUCAUCAUGCCCCUUAUGUCUAGGGCUACACACGUGCUACAAUGGUGAGAACAACGAGAUGCAAUACCGCGGGUGGAGCAAAACUUCAAAACUCAUCUCAGUUCGGAUUGUAGGCUGAAACUCGCC
rnacentral:rRNA from 1 species